rnacentral:rRNA from 1 species
GAUGAACGCUGGCGGCGUGCCUAAUACAUGCAAGUCGAGCGAACGGACGAGAAGCUUGCUUUUCUGAUGUUAGCGGCGGACGUGUGAGUAACACGUGGAUCACCUACCUAUAAGACUGGGAUAACUUCGGGAAACCGGAGCUAAUACCGGAUAAUAUUUUGAACCGCAUGGUUCAAAAGUGAAAGACGGUCUUGCUGUCACUUAUCGCUGGAUCCGCGCUGCAUUAGCUAGUUGGUAAGGUAACGGCUUACCAAGGCAACGAUGCAUAGCCGACCUGAGAGGGUGAUCGGCCACACUGGAACGGAGACACGGUCCAGAGUCCUACGGGAGGCAGCAGUAGGGAAUGUUCCGCAAUGGGCGAAAGCCUGACGGAGCAACGCCGCGUGAGUGAUGAAGGUCUUCGGAUCGUAAAACUCGGUUAUGAGGGAAGAACAGAUGUGUAAGUAACUGUGCACAGCUUGACGGUACCUAAUCAGAAAGCCACGGCUAACUACGUG